UCCCUGGUGGUCCAGUAGUUAAGACUUUGUGCUCCCAAAGCAGGGGACUUAGGUUUGACCCCUGGUCAGGGAA
rnacentral:tRNA from 1 species